rnacentral:rRNA from 1 species
CCUACGGGGGGCAGCAGUGGGGAAUAUUGGACAAUGGGCGAAAGCCUGAUCCAGCCAUGCCGCGUGUGUGAAGAAGGCCUUCGGGUUGUAAAGCACUUUCAGUGGGGAAGAAAGCCUUGGGGCUAAUACCCUCGAGGAAGGACAUCACCCACAGAAGAAGCACCGGCUAACUCCGUGCCAGCAGCCGCGGUAAUACGGAGGGUGCGAGCGUUAAUCGGAAUUACUGGGCGUAAAGCGCGCGUAGGCGGUCUGAUAAGCCGGUUGUGAAAGCCCCGGGCUCAACCUGGGAACGGCAUCUGGAACUGUCAGGCUAGAGUGCAGGAGAGGAAGGUAGAAUUCCCGGUGUAGCGGUGAAAUGCGUAGAGAUCGGGAGGAAUACCAGUGGCGAAGGCGGCCUUCUGGACUGACACUGACGCUGAGGUGCGAAAGCGUGGGUAGCAAACAGGAUUAGAUACCCUGGUAGUC